rnacentral:rRNA from 1 species
GACGAACGCUGGCGGCGUGCCUAAUACAUGCAAGUCGAGCGAAGUUUUUCUGGUGCUUGCACUAGAAAAACUUAGCGGCGAGCGGGUGAGUAACACGUAAAGAACCUGCCUCAUAGACUGGGACAACUAUUGGAAACGAUAGCUAAUACCGGAUAACAGUAUUUCUCGCAUGGGAGAUAUUUAAAAGUUGGUUAUGCUAACACUAUGAGAUGGCUUUGCGGUGCAUUAGCUAGUUGGUGGGGUAAAGGCCUACCAAGGCGACGAUGCAUAGCCGACCUGAGAGGGUGAUCGGCCACACUGGGACUGAGACACGGCCCAGACUCCUACGGGAGGCAGCAGUAGGGAAUCUUCCGCAAUGGGCGAAAGCCUGACGGAGCAACGCCGCGUGAGUGAAGAAGGAUUUCGGUUCGUAAAGCUCUGUUGUUAGGGAAGAAUGGAUAUGUAGUAACU